GGAAUAUUGGUCAAUGGCCGAGAGGCUGAACCAGCCAAGUAGCGUGCAGGAUGACUGCCUUACAGGUUGUAAACUGCUUUUAUGCAAGAGUAAAGUGAGCUACGUGUAGUUUAUUGCAAGUAUUGCAUGAAUAAGGACCGGCUAAUUCCGUGCCAGCAGCCGCGGUAAUACGGAAGGUUCGGGCGUUAUCCGGAUUUAUUGGGUUUAAAGGGAGCGUAGGCUGAUUUUUAAGCGAGCUGUGAAAGUUCGGGGCUCAACCUCGGAAUUGCAGUUCGAACUGGAAGUCUUGAGUAGGUGCAACGUUGCUGGAAUUCGUGGUGUAGCGGUGAAAUGCUUAGAUAUCACGAAGAACUCCGAUUGCGAAGGCAGGUGACGGGUGCUUUACUGACGCUGAGGCUCGAAAGUGCGGGUAUCAAACA
rnacentral:rRNA from 1 species